AGGUGAUACAUAAUCUUAGCACAAUCUCCAGCAAGUUAGUCACAAUCAAUUGUACAGUCAAAUUCUAAAUCUCUGAAAAUUGUGAUCCUGAUGAACAUGGCAGGAAUCUUGUGACGGUAAGAGGCACACAUAUUUAUCAUUAUUUUGAGGACCUGGGACUUAUCAGCAUUGCCGUCCUUGUAGCACAUCAAUUAACAAAAGCUCCCCGCCACUAGUUACUACCGCCCAUAAGGAUGAUAACGACCACUUGGAGCACUCCCUGUGCCAUCAUAUCCUCCUCCUCCUCCUCUACUUCCAUAAAAGGAGCCUCUACCACCGGCAGGGUAUCCAGUGCCAAUGCCCAUAUCAUAGCUGCCCGCAUACCCACCAGUAUUAGGAGCACCACUGCUGUUAUACGCACCAUAACUCUCGUCAGGUCCACCAUAGCCACCUCUAAAAUCAUAACCUCUACUGAAGCUUGCUCCAUAACGCGCAGAGUACCCCAUAGAGGGGUCUUCCCGGUAAGCUCCAAUGCCACCAGUACCAUACAUUCCAUAACCACUAAAAUCGUUUCCACCAUAUCCACCAUAUCCACCACCUCUAGCACCAUACGGUCCACCUGCCCUAAAACCACCACCAUACCCACCACCUCCAAACUCCCCAUAUGCAUCCCCAUAGGCACCACUGUAACUCGGCCUUGAAUCAUGGUAUCUCUUUGAAGGGGCUGGAGGUGGAUUUGCUUUUUUUGGUUCCGCCUUCUUGAUUUCCACCUGACUGCCUGCCAUCUCAAGCCUGUUUCCAUUUGCCAAGAGAUCAUCAACUGCUUGCUCCGUCUCAAAUGUAAUAAAACCAAACCCACGAGACCGACUGGUGGAGUGAUCCCGCAUAAUCUGGUGUUCCUUAACCUCACCAUAUUGCAUAAAAAAAUCUCUGAACUCAUCUUCAUCUACA
rnacentral:misc_RNA from 1 species